rnacentral:rRNA from 1 species
GACGAACCGUGCAAACGUUAUUCGGAAUCACUGGGCAUAAAGGGCGCGUAGGCGGCUUUCUAAGUCAGGGAUGAAAUCCGGCAGCUCAACUGUCGCAGUGCCUUUGAUACUGGAGAGCUCGAGGGAGGUAGGGGUCUGUGGAACUUCCGGUGGAGCGGUGAAAUGCGUUGAUAUCGGAAGGAACGCCGGUGGCGAAAGCGACGGACUGGAUCUCUUCUGACGCUGAGGCGCGAAAGCCAGGGGAGCAAACGGG